AGUGAACGCUGGCGGUAGGCCUAACACAUGCAAGUCGAACGGCAGCACAGUAAGAGCUUGCUCUUACGGGUGGCGAGUGGCGGACGGGUGAGGAAUACAUCGGAAUCUACUUUUUCGUGGGGGAUAACGUAGGGAAACUUACGCUAAUACCGCAUACGACCCACGGGUGAAAGCAGGGGAUCUUCGGACCUUGCGCGAUUGAAUGAGCCGAUGUCGGAUUAGCUAGUUGGCGGGGUAAAGGCCCACCAAGGCGACGAUCCGUAGCUGGUCUGAGAGGAUGGUCGGCCACACUGGAACUGAGACACGGUCCAGACUCCUACGGGAGGCAGCAGUGGGGAAUAUUGGACAAUGGGCGCAAGCCUGAUCCAGCCAUACCGCGUGGGUGAAGAAGGCCUUCGGGUUGUAAAGCCCUUUUGUUGGGAAAGAAAAGCAGCAGGUUAAUACCCCGCUGUUCUGACGGUACCCAAAGAAUAAGCACCGGCUAACUUCGUG
rnacentral:rRNA from 1 species